rnacentral:rRNA from 1 species
UACGUAGGCAGCGAGCGUUGUUCGGAGUUACUGGGCGUAAAGGGUGUGUAGGCGGUUUUUUAAGUUUGGUGUGAAAUCUCCCGGCUCAACCGGGAGGGUGCGCCGAAUACUGAGGGACUAGAGUGCGGGAGAGGAAAGUGGAAUUCCUGGUGUAGCGGUGAAAUGCGUAGAUAUCAGGAGGAACACCGGUGGUGUAGACGGCUUUCUUGGACCGUAACUGACGACUGAGACACGAAAGCCGUGGGUAGCAAACAGG